rnacentral:lncRNA from 1 species
AUGCGUAACGAUAUGACAUCACGCGAUAUGACAUCACACAGUAUUUGGUGUUUGUUCAGUCAACACUCCAUUUUUUUGCUACCUUCCACCCCUCUUUCACUGUGCUUUUCUACACUCACCCUCUUUCUCCAUAUCCUUCUGUCUCUCUCUCUCUCUCCCUCCCCUCUAUGUCUCUCUCUCCCUCCCCUCUCUGUCUCUCUCUCCCUCCCCUCUGUCUUUCUGUCUCUCUCUGUCUCUCUCUCUCUCUCUCUACCCCCUCGGUCCACUGUCAGUGUGGAGGUAGGAGGGGGGCUGUCACACCCGUCCCCCUCCAGUCCCACCCUGGAGGAGAGGAGGAGACCAGGUACCCUGCUCAUCUGGCAGGAGAGAGAGAGAAUCCAUCAGCAGAGAGACAACACGGCCAGAGACAAUGGUUUACUGAAGAUUACAACGGCCAAAACAGGAAGUAAUGUGGCGACGCUGUCACAGACAGGAAGUAGCUCGAGUGGUAGCUCACCAGAGAACAACCACUCCCAGAACGGGCUCAGACAACGAUGUGCGAGUGCAGAUCAGAUGUUCACUGUCUCAAACGGCACCGGUUCAGCGCUCUGUUAGCCGAUCAGGCCUGAGUCAGAAACCACACAGUUUCCUCUUCCGCACCUCAUCCCGCUGCAGCGGCAAGAGUCAGUUCUCCCAUUCUCAGGCUCCACACAAGUAUGGUGGAGCAGGCCGCUCUGAGUUCUCGUCCUCCGUGUUGAGGCCAGAU